GAGUUUGAUUCUGGCUCAGAUUGAACGCUGGCGGCAUGCCUUACACAUGCAAGUCGAACGGCAGCGGGCCCUUCGGGGUGCCGGCAAGUGGCGAACGGGUGAGUAACACAUCGGAACGUACCCUGUGGUGGGGGAUAACCCGUCGAAAGACGGGCUAAUACCGCAUAAGCUCUGCGGAGGAAAGCGGGGGACCGUCAAGGCCUUGCGCCACAGGAGCGGCCGAUGUCCGAUUAGCUAGUUGGUAGGGUAAAGGCCUACCAAGGCGACGAUCGGUAGCGGGUCUGAGAGGACGGCCCGCCACACUGGGACUGAGACACGGCCCAGACUCCUACGGGAGGCAGCAGUGGGGAAUCUUGGACAAUGGGGGAAACCCUGAUCCAGCAAUGCCGCGUGGGUGAAGAAGGCCUUCGGGUUGUAAAGCCCUUUUAGCAGGGAAGAAAUCGGCUAGGUGAAUAAUCUAGCUGGAUGACGGUACCUGCAGAAAAAGCACCGGCUAACUACGUGCCAGCAGCCGUGGUAAUACG
rnacentral:rRNA from 1 species